CUUUAUUCGCGCGAAAAACAACAGCAGGAAGUCGAUCGAUUUCCGUCUUACACUCUCGGCCUAGGCCUAUACCGUAGAAAGUCAAAUACUUAAAAUUUGUUAAUAGAUUCAUUGAAGUUGAAUAUCCACUUCCAAAAAAGUACACUGUGAUAUUGGUAACGUUUCAAUUAAAGAUGAUUGACAUUUCCAGGAAUCCACUGCAAAAUACCUGACUAUACUAGCAUUGUCUCUUGCACUGGAUGUAUUAGUCAUGUCACAUAGUGUACAGUUUGCAGCCAAAACUGUUGAACAGUUUCAGAUUAAUGAAGCCUUAGAAGUACAUUGGUCUGUACUACAUAACAUAUAUAAUGCACAUACGCCAGACAUCCCUUCCGUAAUUUUAACUUCACUUUUAAUAGAUGAAAGUGAUUUUUUUAUUGUAAUAUUGUCAAAGAAAGUGUGCUUUGAAUAUGUGCGAUAUAAAACAUUUGUACCUUCUGCCAUGUGGUGUUUAAAAACAAAUACAGUUUAAAGCGUGCUAUUACUGUUCAUGGAUUAACAGUUGCUAGUUACACAUUUUGGUGUACAUGAUAUUGAAAGAUUUAAAAAAGAUAACGUGAUGCUUGUGGGACAUUCACAUUCUGUAUCACCUAUAUAUCUUACUCUUUUUUUUUUAAACAUCAUAAUUGUUUUUAGAGUGAUAGGCCUUUGUCUACCAUGCUCAUUUGAGCCACUGAGC